rnacentral:rRNA from 1 species
UACGUAGGGGGGCAAGCGUUGUCCGGAAUCAUUGGGCGUAAAGAGCGUGUAGGCGGCCCGGUAAGUCCGCUGUGAAAGUCCAGGGCUCAACCCUGGGAUGCCGGUGGAUACUGUCGGGCUCGAGUCCGGAAGAGGAGUGUGGAAUUCCUGGUGUAGCGGUGAAAUGCGCAGAUAUCAGGAGGAACACCAGUGGCGAAGGCGACUACCUGGCCUGUUCUUGACGCUGAGGCGCGAAAGCUAGGGGAGCAAACGGG